UACGGAGGGUGCAAGCGUUGUCCGGAUUUAUUGGGUUUAAAGGGUGCGUAGGCGGCCCUGUAAGUCAGUGGUGAAAUUCUUGAGCUUAACUGCAGAACUGCCAUUGAUACUGAUGGUCUUGAGUACAUUUGAGGUGGGCGGAAUGUGUCAUGUAGUGGUGAAAUACUUAGAUAUGACACAGAACUCCGAUUGCGAAGGCAGCUCACUAAACUGUAACUGACGCUGAGGCACGAAAGCGUGGGGAUCAAACAGG
rnacentral:rRNA from 1 species